UCAAGAAAAGUCUCUAUAGGCUGCCCAACACAAAAACCAGGCAAUCACUGUAAGCCCCUCUUAUUUACUAAACCUAUUUCUGCCACUGACUACUGGAAGUGGCUAUGUCUUAGUUAUUUCUAAGAACAAUAUGUACAGUUUGUCCUUCAGAAAUGCUUUGCGAUUAGAUAAUUACUGCACUCAAAGAGACAUCUUACAGCUUUUAAUAGGACAUUUUGUCUUUUCUGGGAGCAAAGGAGUUGUGAAUGGGUAUGAAAAUAGUAUUUGUUCAGUAAUAUGUUUUUGCUAGAGCACAGUUUUGGUGGCUGCAAUCAGUGGAGCGAUCCCUUCUAAAUCUUGAUGUGAUAUUACUGGAACUUAGUGAAAUAGAAGAGAUCACUCCUUUGUUCUGAUUUUUACAGGAAAAUGCGUGGCUGGAAGCUUUGUAACCACUUUUUUCUCUCUGGAGGAUUGAUAGUUCAGUCCUUUCAGAUGUGGAUCAGACAUAUAUACUCCAUGGAGUGUGAAGUGGGAAGAAGGAAAGACAAUAGGAAAAAUGAUCUUCAAUGACAUUAGCAAUCAGCACAAUUUACAAGAGUUAAAGUUACCAUAGGAACACAGAGAAGAUGAAAGUUUACUGCCAGAAUUAAUGCCCCCAACUUUGCUAUGAAGACCAAGGCACUGUGGAAUUGUGUGUCUACGUUUGGAAAGUCAGCUUGUGCCUAAAUGGAUUUUGAAGAUAUCAGGCAUUCUAGGAUUGAGAAUGAGAAUUCCUUUUGUUACAACAGGCAAGAGUAAGAGCCAAUAAAUAAAAGAAUGCUACAUUUUAA